rnacentral:rRNA from 1 species
GACGAACGCUGGCGGCGUGCUUAACACAUGCAAGUCGAGCGGUAAGGCCCUUUCGGGGUACGACGAGCGGCGAACGGGUGAGUAACACGUGGGUGGACCUGCCCUCCAGCUCUGGGAGUAAGCCUGGGAAACCGGGGUACUAAUACCGGAUAUGACUCCAUGACGCAUGUUGUGGGGUGGAAAGCCUUGUGCGGCUGAGGAUGGG